GAUCAGGUAGGGAUUACCCCGCUGAACUUAAGCAU
rnacentral:rRNA from 1 species